ACCUGGGUGGCUCAGUCGGUUAAGCAUCUGACUUCGGUUCAGGUCAUGGUCUCACGGUUCAUGAGUUCAAGCCCCAUGUCAGGUG
rnacentral:tRNA from 1 species